ACUGCGCGACCCGGAAUCCUUGGAAGGACUUCUCGGAAGGACUCCUCUCUGACAGGUGGGGCGAGCCUAUGGUCGUUUGGACGUGGAGGGAUCCUUUCAGAACCGGCGAUUUCUUUUAUUUAGACAACACCUUUUUGCUUUUCUUCCACAUCUUCACACUCCUUCAGGAUCAAAAACCUAAGCCACAUGACUGGAUGAGCCGUCACUUGGCCUUCAUUCGGGUAGUGAUGGUCCUCACUGUAGUGGAUGUUUUGCCUCCAGAUAUGCUUGAAUCACUGCAUUUUGGGAAUAACUUCAAAUGCAAGUCCUUGAUCUAAAUAAACAGAGUGACGAGGGGCCUAUGUAUCUAUACCACCUGUCUCCUGAGUAUACACCAGGCCAGCAUAAUCAGCCUCAGCAACUUCUGGUUGGAAAGCUUUAAACAUAAAUUUACAAAUAACAUUGUCAGUGUCCUCUUUUUUCUUUUUUGUUCCCUCAAUUUGUCUUUCAGUAGUGACAUAAUAUUCUUCACUGUGGCUUCUUCCAUUGUGACCCAGACCAAUCUACUUAAGGUCCGCAAAUACUGCUCACGUUCUCCCAUGAAGUCCAUCAUGUGGGGAGUGUUUUCCUUGUAGGAUUACGCUGCUCUCAAGUGCAUACAUGAUGAUCUUUUUGUCCAAGCAUCAGAGGUGAUCCCAGCAUCUUCACAGUACCAGCCUUUCCCCAAGAUCCUCGCCAGAGAAAAGGGUUACCCAGAUCAUCCUGCCACUGGUGAGUUGCUUUGUUGUCAUGUACUGGGUGGACCUUAUCAUCUCAUCCUCUUCAUCCCUGUUAUGGACGUAUAACCCAGUCAUCCUGAGCAUCUAGAACCUUGUAGCCUGUGUCUAUGCCACUCUCGUUCCAUUGGUACAAAUCCGCUCUGAUAAAAGAAUAGUUAAUAUUCUCCAAAAAAUGGAAUUAAAGUGCUAUAAUUUUUUAAUGUGUUGGUGAUGAAAAAUAUUUCUAAAAAUUAGUCUCAUUCUAUAGUUAAAUUGUUCAAGUAGCCCCAGAUUUAGCUUACUGAGUUUAAAUAAAAUGCGUGGAAUUACACUUUUAUUAUAUUUUUAUGCUUCUGAAACUGAGGCAUCUAAGGACUAUGUAGUUUCUUCAGUUCAAUGUUCACCAUAGAUUGACAUUUCAGAUAUCAAGUCUUUUGCACUUUUAUUUUUAUGUUAACUUUGUACAAGAAAAUGUUUCUCUCUUUUUGAAGUACAUUCUUAAAAAAUUUGUUUUGGUAAUCAAAUCUCUCAAUGUUUUUACUUUUGAAAAUAUUUACUUACUCUGUUUAUGAAUGAUACUUUAGCUAAAUAUUCAAUUCUAGCUUUUAAGCCAUGCUUGCUCAUUGUAACCUCCCUGACUAAAAAAAAUUAUGUCAAUUUGGAUUUUAAAUUUAAUCUAGAAUUCAUUUUAAAGGGUUUUAAAUGAAAUUUAUAUGUGGCUAGAUACUGUUUUGGUAAUACUCGAUAGUUUCCCGCCUCUAUUGGGAUAUUAUUGACAAAAAUUUUGUAUAUUUAUGGUGCACAAUAUGAUGUUUUGAGGUAUAGACACGUGCACGCAGACACAUAAACACACACACACACACACAUUGUAAAAUUACCAAAAUCAAGCUUAAUAACAUGUCAAUUACUUCUCAUACAAGGGUAUUUUUGGUGUAUGGUGAGAACAUUUGAGAUCUACUUCAUUAAUAUAAUUUACUUAUACAAUACAUAUUAUUAAUAUAGUCUCUAUGCUGUAUACAUAUAUUUAUAUUAACUUCUCUUUUGUUAUUGUUGGAGACAGUUGUCUGUCUUUGUUCCCCAGGCUGGAGUGCAGUGGCAUUAUCAUAGCUCACUGAAACGUCAAACUCCUGGGUUCAAAUCAUUCUCCCACCUCAGCCUCAAAAGUAGCUAGAACUACAGGGGUGCACCACUAUGCCAAGCUAAUUUGUAGGAACAGAGUCUUGCUAUGUUACCCAGGCUGGUCUUGAACUCCUGGCCUCAAGCAAUCCUCCUGCCUUAGCCUCCCAAAAUACAGGGAUUAUAGGCAUGAGCCACAUGCCUAGCUUUAUAACAUUUUCUUUAUUCAUUUAUGUGUUGAUGGACAUUUACAUUGUUUUCAUAUCUUGUCUAUUGUGAAUAUUGCUUCAAGAAACAUAGGAGUGAAGAUAUCUCUUCAAUAUGUGAUUUUAUGUUCUUUGGAUAUUUAACCAUAGGUAGGAUUCCUGAAUCAUAUGAUAGUUUUAUUUUUAAUUUUUUGAUGAAUAAUCAUGCUGUUUUCCAUAAUGGCUUUACCAAUUUACAUUCCCAGUGACAGUGUACAAGGUUCCUUUUCUCUCCAUCAUUGAUAACAUUUGUUUUCUUUUGAAUUUUUAAUAAACAUUACCCUAACAUGUGCUUGAGGUGCUAUCUCAUUUUGGUUUUGAUUUGCAUUCUCCUGAUGAUUACUAAUGGCUUCUUUGAAAAAGGAUCCAUUUAGAUUAUUUGGCUACUUUUAAAAAGAAUGUGUUAUUUUUAUUGUUAUUUUUAUUCAGAGGGGGUUAUAUUUUAUGAAUUUCUUACAGAUUUUGAAUGCUAACCCUUUAUCUGAUAUUUGGCUUACAAGUAUUUUUCUUCGGUUCUGUGGAUUGCCUUUUAAAUUGAUUGACUGUCUUUUGCUAUGCAGUAGAAACUUUUUAGUUUGAUGUCGUUUCAUUUUUUUUCUCCCUGGGCUUUUAGUGUCAAAUACAAAAAAUAAUUAUUGCCGCAAACAAUGCCAAAGAAUUUUCCCCAAUGUUGUUUUCUAAAAGUUUUAUGGUUUCAGGUCCAAUAUUGAAGUCUUUAAUCUCUUAAGUUAAUUUUUGUGUAUUCUGUAAAAGAUGGGUUAAAUUUUUUUUGCAUGUGUAUAUCCAGUUUUCCCAUCACCAUUUAUUGAACAGUGUAUUCUUUCUUCACUGUAUAUUUAUAUAUCUUUGUUGAAAAUUAGUUGACUGUGUUCAGAUGGAUAUUUCUGAGCUCUCUAUUCAGUUUCAUUGGUCUAUGUGUCUGUGUUAAUGCCAGCAUCAUGCUGUUUUGAUGACUGUAGCUUUGUUAUAUCAUUUGAAAUUAAGAAGUUUGAUGCCUUCAGCUUUGUUCUUGCUCAAAAUUCUUUGGUUAUUUUGGGUCUUUUCUAAUUCCUUACAAACUUUAGAAAUUUUUUAUUUUUCUGGAAAAUGAUAUUUUAAUUUUGAUGGAGAUUGCUUUAAAUUUUUUUUUUUUUUUUUUGAGAUGGAGUCUCACUGUGUCACCCAGGGCCCAGGCUGGAGUGCAGUGAGGUGAUCUCAGCUCACUGCAACCUCCACCUUCCUGGUUCAAACAAUUCCCCUGACUCAGCCUCCUGAGUAGCUGGGAUUACAGGUGCACGCCACCAUGCCUGGCUAAUUUUUUUGUGUGUUUUUAGUAGAGAUGGGGUUUCACCAUGUUGGCCAGACUGGUCACGAACUCCUGACCUCAAGCAAUCCACCCACCUCGGCCUCCCAAAGUGCUAGGAUUACAGGUGUGAGCCACUGCACCCGGUGAGAUUGCUUUAAAUCUUUAUAUCACUUUUAGUAGUAUGAAUGUUUUAAUAUUAAUUUAUCCAAUCCAUGAACACUAAGUUUUUUUUGUCUCUUCUAUAAUUGCCUUUGCCACUAUUUUAGAGUUUUUAUUGUACAAAUCUUUUACCGUCUUAGUUAUAAGUAUUAUUUUUUAUGUUAUGGCAUAUGGAAUUUUCUUAAUUUUUCCCAUAUAUUUUGUUGUAAGUGUAUAGAAAUGCAAUUUAUUGUUUUGUACAUUGAUAUAGUAUCCUGCAACAUUGCUGAAUUAGUUUAUUAGUUUUAAAAGUUUUUUUCCUGUAAUGAUGAGCACACGGGACUGUGUUUACACACUCAUUAAUAUUCUGUUAACAUAUCACAGUGCCUAAAAAUGUGCUCUGUUGUAUUUCUGCGGUGACCAAUUUAAUGGCAUCUUUUAGUCCUAAUUUUUUUUUCUUUUAAAAUACUUUUGUCUGGUAUUGUAUAAUGGUGUGUUACUUUUCAGUUGUGCUACACAUUUAUUUCCAGGCAGAGUUAGUCAAGCUUUCUAAUAAAGUUAUUUAAUACCUUUAUGUGCAUUUAGUUGUUGUAAGCCAAAACAGUAGAUUUUAAUGAUAGUUUUAAAGUUACCAAGUAAGAUUGAAAAUAUGUCAAUUCAUCACUGCUCAAGAAUCUCUGGAUUCCUCAUUUCAAACUCUUACGUAUGAUGUGUGUGUGUGUGUGUGUGUGUGUGUAAUGGCUUAGAAUCUUACCUAACAUAUUGUAUGCACUAACCAAGUACUAAAAGACAUGAUUCAUCAAAUUAUCAUCUUUAUACCAUUCUUCAAAUAGAAUAUUAUUUUCUGUUUGUUCUAAUUAAAAAUUAUGUUUGUCUUAUUUAAAUAUCAAUGAAAAUUAAAAGGUCUACUCAGUCUGCCGCCUUGAUAAAAGCCAAAGCUAAAUGGCAGUUUCACUAAUAUUUUAAAUUCAAUACCUUAUUUGCAUCACGAUAAAUAUAAACAGUAAGGAUAAAAUUAUAUUUUAAUUACCCAUCCUACAAUAAAGAGACUUUGAGUCAUUCAUUAAUAGGGCUGAAGCCUUGCUCUGUAUUUUUCUGAUUUUUCUAUGUUAACAGCCUAGAAAAAUUUUUUACACAUAGAAUACUACAAAUUAGAAAUUAAUAUCUUGAAAUGUACAAAUUAUAAAAAAACUGAGUAAGUAGAAUAGAUGAAUAUAUGUUUAUAUAUUAUGAAUUGUUAUAUAACAAGCAAAAUUAUUAAUUAAAAAUAUUUUCACAAAGAAAAUUCCAGGGCAAAAUAGCCUUUAUGGAAAACUGUCCCUAUAUUCAAUAAAUAAUACUAACUCUUCACCCAAAAAUAUUUUCAAAAAUUGAAAAAGAGGGAACAUUUUCCAAUUUAUUCUAGGAGGCCAGUAUUUCUGUGAUACUAAGGGCAGACCCAAAUAUAUGACAGAGAAGGACUAUGGACCAAUGUGGCAUAUUUAUGUAUAUACAUACAUCCCCAGAAAAUAUAGCAAACCAAAUCCAGUCACAUAAAAUAUGCAUAUACACGAAGACCAUAUGAUAUUGUUUUAUAAAUGCAAUUGUGACUUAAUAUCUAAAAUUUAAUCAAGAUGAUGCUCAAUACUAGUAAAGAACAAAAAGUGAUAAUUUAAAUAGGCACAGAGAAAAUUUCAAAAAUUGAAUAUCCAUCCCUGAGAAAACCCCUAGCAAACUACUAAUAGAAGGAAAUUUUGAGACCUACUAAAAUGCAUCUAUUUUUUAAAUCUGUAGCUAACAUCAUACUUAAUGGUGACAAACUAGUGUUUUUUUUUUUACCUGAAAGUUUGGGGAGAAGACAAGAAUUUUCACUAUAAUAUUCCAGAUUGUAAAAUAUAAAAGUAGAACUGUAUUUAUUGUAAAUGAUACAAUUUUCCGUUAAAAAAUACAAAAAAAUUCACUAAAAUACCACUAAGGCAGACAAAUCCAGUUUGUCAGUAGAGGGUGAUUUAUUGGGGGGACACAGAGAAUGAAGCAUGAUCUUUGGCAGGUGCAAUACAGGUAGAUCUCUGCGCCGUAACCCUCCAGACCCAGGACUUAUACCCUAUAGAAAAGGGCAUAUGACCAAUGUGCCAGACAAUUAAAGUGGACCUUCCAGGAAAUGAUGAGAUUGCUAUCUAUGUGUGUCAUAUCCUGUAAUUUGUGCCGUAACAUCAAGGUUUCUGUUGACCUAGGGGCAGGAUGUGGUCUUAUAUAAAGAGCAGUAGAUAAAGUGGAUAUCCUAAAGGCAUUCCUGGAACUGGGGGUAAUCAAAGUCAAAUGGCAAAUUAUAAUUCAGGAUGGAGUUACUUUAGUCUUUACACUCCACCCAUCUUAUCCACCUGUAACUAUCUCAGCAUUCUGCUCUUCUGUGAUGGUCCAUUAGUUUUUGUGGAGAGACUGUAGGUGACAUGUUUUAUCACUGUGUUUUUUGCUUAUAAGCAGAUAUAGCAGUAACAAUACAGACAACAACAGACAAUGACACCUAUGACAUGUAUCAGACACAGAAUUAAUAACACUUUCUGCCACCAUGUUCCUCAGGAUCCAAACCAGGAGGAGAGCCAUUGGGAGAAAGGUUAGAGUCAGACACUGUGGUUAUUUGUUUAUGCAUGUCUUGUAGGGCUAGAGUUAUACUGCUAGAAUGAUCAGGAAUAAAUACACAACAUUCCGUCUUAAUCAUGGCAAAAGCUUUUCCUUGUGCAGCAGUUAAUACAUCGAAUACCAUGUAAUUUUGUAGAAUAGCCUUCAGUAUGGGGGUCAUCUCAGAGUUCAUUAAAAAAUACCUUGGAGGCUGUCAUUGAGAAAAAGCUGAGUAUAGUUAAUGUGUUUUCAAUGCCUACAAAUGGCACAGAGAUUGAAGCUAAAUAAUCAUACCAAUAAAAGAAAGCCCUUAUCCACCUACUAGUCACAUAUGGGAAAUUAACAGGUUUAUCAGUUUGCUUUUCCCAUCAUCCUUGGACCAAUAGAAAACCUAACAUGUAGUGUCCUAGCCAUCCCAAUGGUGACCAAGGCCAGAGAUUAAAUCCAUACAACCAUUCAGUACCAUUUGGAGCUGCCAAUUUAUUCCAGGUUGUUGAGAUGAGUCUGUAGUAACCCAGUCCAUGGCUUGCAGUAUUACAAUGUGUUGGCAUUGUUCCUGGGACAUCCAGCCCUUACUAUGGGUAUAAUUGAGCCAUGAGGCGUGGUUUCAUUGCUCACAUCAUAGGGGCACUAACUGACUUAAAUGCCCUAUAGCUGGUGUCAGCCAAAUGAAACCAUCUCAAAUUUUAAAAAGACCUUCUUUACAGUGAGAAUGUCAAGGUCUUAUAAUAAGACUCAUUCCUUAGAAUCCUUUGGUUGUGGCGUAGCUCUAGUUACUACAUGUUUUUGUGUGGCAUUUAUUGAAAAGGGCUUUCCAUGUCCAUAACUGUUAAGUGUCUUGUUAAUAGGCUAAUUACAUCACUUCUUGUCACAUCUUCUAAAGGUGUAUUCCACUGUUGAAGAGACUUGAUGAAUAUCUGUACAUUCUGCAAGUCAUUUUUCUGCAUAGGUGAUACAUACCAAGGCAUACCAGAGGUGCUGGAAUAAAAUAACCACAAUGCCAGUAGGCAUCCUUUUAUGAACUGUCAGCAUAAUGUUGAGCCCAUUGUAGAGAAAAUACAGCAGAGCAGCAACAGGAACAGAAGACUAUGGGUGUAAAUACAAGUGUUUAGCAGUAGUUGAAAGGGCAGUUCUUUCCCAUCAAGCAGAAUGAUUGUAGUGACUUUGUCCCUGUUAGUUAGGACAUAGGCACCCAAAGGAUUAUGGGCUGGGAGUGCACACCAAACAUGGGGCCUAAGGGGUAAAUGUGCCAGUAUUAUCUGUAAAGUUACAGGGACAGCAAAAGACUAUGUUAAACCACUGAUCAAAGUGUUCUUUAAAAGAAGUUGUGUUCCAGUGUAUUGGUAUUUGGCACAUUUUUGCCCAGACUCCAACAGGAUCAACAGAGACCACUUUAGCUGGCUGGGGAAGUUCUCACUCUCUGGAAAGAAAUAGCCUAUCCAACCAGGGGAAAUUUGCCAGUCCAACAGUAUUCAAGGGCUCCCUUUCUUGGCUGGAGGUCUUGGGGAGUCCUAAAUAAUACGUGCCAUUGGCCUUUUAUCAGCUACAGUAGAAAUGGAUCUGGUUGGAUUUUCUUUACAAUGAUGGUUAAUAGACCCUCCUUUAUGGGGAUCCUGAAUCAUUGGUAUAGUUCCAACCCUAUAUUUGUUUCAACUGAAUUAAGGUGUCUAAUGGUUGGAGUCAAAACCUUCACCCAGCCAUGCAAAAUAUUAGAUUUUAAGAGUGCUCACAGUUGAGUCUAGUGCUAUUUUUCCUUUCAAUCAAACCUGCCACUUGAGGAUUACAUAAUAAAUAGAAUUCCCAGUCUAUAUCCUUUUCAUGUGCCCAACCUUGGACAUCAUGUUCAAUGAAAUGUGUGCCUCAGUCACUAUCAGUGUGUUGAGGAUAUCCAUAUAUGACACCGAGUUGCUUCAAGCCCUUGAUGGUGGCUGUCUGGUUUGCCCUUUUGCAAGUGAAGGCCUGAAAUAAUACUAUAAGAGUAUCCACAUAUUUUAGUGCAUACUUUUGUCUCAAGUUUACUGGCAGGGAUUCGAUGUAGUCUCUUUACCAGCUUAUCAGAGGGGUAGCUGUCUUAUGAAUGAGUUCCUAUGUAUGUGGUGUGUGGUGAGGGCUCAGGUGAGAGCAAACUAAGCAGACUGUUAUUGCCACCACUAAAUCUGCAUAGUGGAGGGCAAUCAUCCUACCUUCGCUAUUUGCCAGCCCACUCGUGCACUGUGAUGCUCACUAUGUUCAUGUACCCAAUCAACUAGCUCAGAUGACUGUGAGGAAGCCAAUGUUCUAAUUUUUGCUAGAGUAUCUGCAUCCAUGUUACCAGGAAGGAAAUCUGACCAGUGUGCUGAAACACAGUACAUGAUUAAGCUCACAGUGGGUUCUUGUAGCCUCUCCCAAAUGUCGUUUCACAUGGCAGCUGGCCAUAAGGGUUUUUAAAGCACAUAGCAACCAUUUCAGGACCAUUGGGAAGCCAAGUUGUAAGACCCUUAAGACCCUAUAGUUCUCUGUACAGACAGGCCCACCUGGAUAGGCCAUAACUCAUGGAUACCAACCAAUUAUGCACGUUGAAGCUCUGCCCAUUGAUGGCUUUGUUGCAUUCCCUCCUCAAUCCAGAUAGCAUCUGUCUAGUUGUACAGCUAGAGCCAUCCACAUGCAUGUUACUAUGUGUGGCUUGAUCUGAAUACCAAUCAUUUUCAAAAAUGAGGCCGUGCCUUCAUGUACAUUGGAAGCAUCUCUUGUGAGGGAUCCGCACUGGGGGCAGCCCUUGUCUCAUAGUGCACUGGCCCUAACAUAGCAGGCAGUUCAUUCCCCAAGGGACUCAUGGAGAGGAUACUAUGUUGUUGCAGAUCUGCAUGCCAUUUUUGUACAGUGGAGGCUUGAGCAAUGGCUAAUUCAGGCCUGGCAGACAAGCCUUUCAUCCAGCAAAUGGGUUCCAUUUGCUGCAAGCCUUGUAUACCUGUUCAGUCAAAACAGUGGAUUUCACCACUCCUCCACAAACAUCCUAGGGGAACUGUUUUUUUAUUCUGGACUUGCCCGAGAGCCCCAGUGUUCCCAUCAGGACUUAUGGUCACAUCUAAAGACACUGCUACUGUUGAAGGGACUCUGGGCUGGCCAAAUAAUAUAGCACACCGUGGGGAAGAAAGGUGUACAGAUUUUCUUUUACUUUCCCUCUUAACAUAGCUUUUACUACCCAAAUCCAUAGGCAUAAUUCUCCAACAGAUGUUCGUAAAGUGUGCCUUAAGAGGACAUUUAUACCCAAGAUGUUUUGUGGACUAGAUGAGAUACAGUAAAGCAAGCAGGAGGUUCUAACCAGAACCAAGGGGGAAAGAAGUUUGUUUAACUCAGAUUGUUCAUCCCCCAUAGCCAUCUAUAGCUCCCCACUUAUCAGGAUGUCUUUCUGCAUUUCCAUGAAUUAAGGUGCAUUUGACACCUGUGCCUACCACUGCUAAGGUCCUCUGCUUGUUUUCUGGACUUAAAUGAAUUGUGAACUCCACAUGGACCUCUGGUCACCUCGAUUGCUCAUACAUGAAGGCAGCCUCGGCCUUAACCCUAUUCUCUAGGCUGGGAAGGACGCCACUCAUUGAACAUAGAUUGGAGUUCUUUUCUGCAAAGUUUUUUCUUCUUUCUACUCUUCUGCUGGGGCAAUAGGCAGGGCACUAGGCAGGGCAUUAGCAGAAGUCAACUCCUUCCAAAUGCCCACAAAUAUGGCCUUUUCUUUGUCCACCCCAGCUGAGAUUAGAUUAUACAUUAGUUUUUCUAGUAACCCUAACUGAGUUACUGAAAGACUUGGCAUGUCCUUCUUUUCCUUUUCCUUUGGUAAGCAGUCAGACCUUAUUUCUUCCCUCUUUCUCCAAGAUUAGCUACAGUUCUCCCACAUCACACACAUCUUUUCCCAUGAGGGAACUCAAGAUGUAUAUGAGGGCACCAUGCCAAUUCCAAGGGACAUUUUGUUAACUACUGAUUUUUCAUGACCAUGGUAAACACAGCCUUAUCUGAUCCUUCAAAUUAUUGGAUAUAUAUGUCCUGCCACAUACCCAACUCACUUAAAUUGAUGUAUGUUUCCUCCAGUGAUGGCCAUGCCAGGGUCUGACCUGAGAAGUCUCCUUCAUUUGGCCCGGCCUCGCUCAUGGCCAUGAUAAUCCAGUCCAUAACACUAUGAUUGCCCUGAACAGUUGUAGCUUUGUGCAAACACUGUCUCAAAGCAGGAUGGGUGGUUAUUUGUUCAUUGUUUUAGCUUCACUGUCAGCUAGGGAGAUGCCAUUUCUAUCAGAGUCCUAGUCACACAAACCAUGUGGCUAACCUUUCUCUCAGCAACUAUUUAAGUAUUUUUGCUAUGUCUAAUAGUUCUACUAAGGUGUACUCUCAGACAGUACAGGUUUAUUGCAAAGACUGUCCAUUAUUGCCCAGCUCCAUGUGUUGGGCUUUUGCUUUCUGCUGCAUGAGUGGAUUGCUCUAAAAUGGGGACGGUAAUCCUACACCUCUUCUGUGAUAAACUCUGUCUUCAUCUGGCUCACUAGUUGCUUUCUGAUGAUUCCAGACCUUAGCGUCCCAGUCAGGUUUAGCAAGGCAGUCCUCCACUUUCAGCUGGUGCAACUUCCACCCUCCCAGCUGCACAAGUGGCAGCUAGAGCUUCCAGCUGUGCCUCCUGUGUUUUGAACUCAUCCCCCAAGGUAGUCACUAACACAGACAUGGAUGUCCUCAAACUCAUGCUUAACAGUAAUUUUUCUUGUAGCCAGAUGACCCUGGUAAUGGAAUGUGGUGAUGGCAGCUGGGCUGUUGAGCAGGAUGAUGAGUGGCAGAAUUAGCAGGGCUCUGGCUCCCAUGUUGGUCCAUCCUGCUGGCAUGGAGCUUUUUCCAGGCUGUGGGCUGGAUGUGGUAGGUGGGGCUUCCUUUCUUCCCCAGACUAGCCCAGCAAUUCUCCAGGAAGCCAGGCCUCUGCGGCUAAUUCUGUCUUGCACCUCAACACGGCAGGAAACAGACCCAAAGCAGGCAGUAACUUGCCUAGAUCCCCAGAGGAGAGACGAACUCCUCCUCCCACCUGGAGGCCCUGUCCCAGCUACCUUCACCCCAUACCCCAGCACCACUACUGACCAGGGUUCCAUCUUCUGGACUCUAUGGGCAUCUCCAUUCUGGGCUCAGCCACGGUGGAAGUAAGAUGUGGUGUCUUGGGAGACCUGGUUGAGCAGGUCUCUGUUUCCUCAUCUGAAAAAUGUACAAAUAAUGAACCUGUUGUGCAGGCCUUACAGAGUCCUGAUGAGGUUCAAGGGAGAAAGGGAAUUUGAGGGUCCUUGCAUCUGGCUCUUCUUGAUAAAUAUAAUGGUGAGAACAAUGGUGAUAGUCACAUUCAACUGAGUCCUCAGGAGGCCCUGAGGUAGGCGUGGUUUCCACUGCCCUUUCCUGAUGAGAAAGCAGCCUCUGGGAGGCCCGGCUUCAUGCCCAGAUGGCAAAGCCGUGAGUGCUGGAGCUGGGAGUGAGUCUAGAAUCAGGACUCACUGGAGGUAGUGGGGGUAUUGCAUCAGCUGACCAAGGCCAGUUAACCAGGGUUUGAGGUUAGUGUGGCUGGGGUGAAAAAUGGUUGAUGGAGGAUAAUCUCACUGACCUUACCCCUGACCCUCACAGUAGGGGACCUCCAAGUUGGUCACCCUGGAGAGGAACCCAGCAAAUCUGGGGCAGCAGCAGGUGAGUGUGCCUGUGGUGGGGAGGGGCUGCAGGGAGUCAGAGGACAGGGACCGUCCCUCCCAGCUGGAGGCCUCUACAUCAAGCAAGCAGGGGACCUUUCUCCCCCAGCUCUUCCCUCCUGUGACCACAGUGCCUGAAAUGCCUCCAUUAGAGAGACCAGAAAAAGGGCCUGGGAGACCUUGGCUCACUGUGGAUUUUGGGAAUGGUGGAGCAGGGGACCCCAUGAUCUUAUUACUUGCUAAUAUCCCACCAGAAAAUUAAAAAAAAAAAACAACAAACUGGGGAUGCCCGCUGGCUUUGGACACCAGCUAGGGGAAAAAGGUGAGAAUUGGGGGAAGACAGCUGGGGGUCCUUAGUUACUCCAAGUGAAAGACCUGGGUAAGGGGAUACAGAAGACAGGAAUGGUGAGAUUUCACACGACAGACCUUGGACAGGCACCUAAAAGCGGGUGCUCAUCAUCUCUAGCACUCUGAUGGCCCAGGCUGUGUGCUGUCUCUGGGCAUGUUCCUCAGUGAUGCUGGACACUGCCAUGAAGGACUGUGUGGAUGGGAGUGAGCCUGGGGCAGGCAGGUCAGGGACCGGGAUCCUGAGGCCUGGGAGGAGAGAGCCGAGGAUUGAGCCCUUGGAUCUCAGCACUCAGCAGACCUCCUCUCAUGAGAGCCUCACAGCUGCCCCUGUGAGCUGGGGUGUCAGGCCCAUGUCACCUAUGAGUGGUGGAGGUUCCAUAGCAGCUGCCAGCCUCUGCUUCCUGAGUAGUGAUGCGUCAGGGCUGUCUGACUGCAAAGUUGUGUGAGGUUUGGGCUGAGCUGAACUUAGCCUGUCCCUCAGGUGGUGCCCAUGAGAGGAGAGGGAAAUUGCACCCAUGAAAGAUCAGACAGGUCCUAAAUGGCUGAGCGCUUUCUCUUUAUGCAAGGCCUCAAUUUCCCUGUCUGUCAUGAGAGAGGGUUGAGGCAGAAGGUUCCCAAGCCUCAGUGCCCAUGCUGUCUCCUCUGGAGCCCAGAGGCUAACACAGGUCUCAGUUCUGCUUGGUGCACAACCCCUGACCCUCAUAGCCUUGGCAGUAGCACAGCAUGAGGGCAGGUGAGGAGUGGGGCUAGCCAUGGGCCGGAGUGCCUUUCUGAUGAACCUUGGCUGUCUGCCUUCCAGGGAUAUUAGGUCAGCACUCAAAAGAGGAAGAUGAGCAAUUGGGGCCCUCACUUUGGGGGAUAUUGGGAAUGUGGAAGUCAGAGACCCUCCUGGGCAGGACGCCCCCUGGCUCCACCCUCUGCCUCUUAGAUUUACUGGGAGGGUUGGAUGCACAGAGAAGGAAGAAACCCAUCCCAGUGGAGGGUGUGGGUAGGGGUCUGCAAUCAAUGACAAAUUCCUAGAGGAGGGGCUGUUUAUAUCCAACUCUGAAAACAGGUUGAAGCUGAAUGGCAUUGAAGAAGAGGGUGCCCUUUAAGAGAAAAGCCCUAGAGACCAGCCCCUGCUCCUCCCACCCCAACAAGUCCCCUUCAGCAUCUUCUAUCCAGGCCCUGUCAGCAUCCUGUCCUUCCCUCUGGGUCCAGGAAAUCAAAGUCCUCCAAGAAAUGCAGCCACUUCUGUAACAAGAGAGAACUGUCAUCUUCAGAGUCAGGAGGAAUUUGGGGUUUGGUUCAGGUCCAUUGAAAAGCACAGUUGGAAUAAAACUUGGGGGUAGCAGAUAUUCAGAGGGUAGGAGGAGACUCUCUCUUACAGCCAGCUUCAGACAGCCUGUGGACAUGGCUCCCUGGUCAGCAGGAGAGCAUGUUGCAUGGGGAUCCCUGGGCAGGCACUGGGAGGGAGGCCUGAGGUGUGGCUCCUGCAGCGUCAUAGCUACUGCUCUUUCCUGCAGUGACAACCUGUCCGGCCCACUGAGCCUCCAUCCCAGUAGGCCAGCAACACCCUCAAGGCUAAGAAGAUCAGGCCAUGAAGAAUCUCAGGGCCAAUGAGUGCCCAGGUGGUAGGUGCAGAGUGCCUCAGGGCUCAGUGAAGUUUGGGCUGAGCACGGGCUCUGGACUUCCAACUAACUCCACUGUGACUAGCACUGUGAUUGGGGCAGCCUCACUGCUCUGGAACUUGAGGUACCAUUGUCACAGAUAUAAAACACCCUUCCAAUCUUUUUCUUUUUUAUCUUCCUCUGUAAUCACCAUGUACUACUGCUCUGUUAGUGUUUUUAUUCAAAUUAAUAAACAUAUGUUAUACAGUGUA